UGAAACACGGACCAAGGAGUCUAACAUGUACGCAAGUCAUGGGGUUGCAAAACCCACUGGCGCAAUGAAAGUGAAGGUCAAUUCGGUUGGCCAAGGUAGGAUCCCCAGUCAACUGGGGCGCACUACCGUCCCAUCGCAUCUGCUUGUCAGAGCGGUGGAGAAAGAGCGUACACGUUGGGACCCGAAAGAUGGUGAACUAUGCCUGAGCAGGAUGAAGCCAGAGGAAACUCUGGUGGAGGUCCGUAGCGGUUCUGACGUGCAAAUCGAUCGUCAGACUUGGGUAUAGGGGCGAAAGACUAAUCGAACCAUCUAGUAGCUGGUUCCCUCCGAAGUUUCCCUCAGGAUAGCUGGCACUUAGAACGCAGUUUUACCCGGUAAAGCGAAUGAUUAGAGGCCUUGGGGACGAAACGACCUCAACCUAUUCUCAAACUUUAAAUGGGUAAGAAGUCUCGCUUGCCUGACCGAAGCUCAGACAUUGAAUGCGAGUGCCAAGUGGGCCAUUUUUGGUAAGCAG
rnacentral:rRNA from 1 species